rnacentral:rRNA from 1 species
UACGUAGGGUGCGAGCGUUAAUCGGAAUUACUGGGCGUAAAGCGUGCGCAGGCGGUGAUGUAAGACAGUUGUGAAAUCCCCGGGCUCAACCUGGGAACUGCAUCUGUGACUGUAUAGCUAGAGUACGGUAGAGGGGGAUGGAAUUCCGCGUGUAGCAGUGAAAUGCGUAGAUAUGCGGAGGAACACCGAUGGCGAAGGCAAUCCCCUGGACCUGUACUGACGCUCAUGCACGAAAGCGUGGGGAGCAAACAGG